AGUGUUUCUUUAGGCCAUGCAUCAUAUCACACAUCUACUUAAAUACCCUGAGGUGGACAUGACUGUAGUUUGCUCUGAUGACUGAAGUACAUACUGUCUUGCAUUCCAUGGUGCUUUCCACCCUUGUGAUUACAUCAUCUUCAGUUCCUGUUUGGUAUUUACUGGAGUGACUGGUGCAUUUAUCCCUGUUCCACAGACAUGAAGUCAUAACCUCAUCUGAAUGAAGAUAUGAAAGAAUCUAGAAUACAUGAAAAAACCACAUGCUUCAAAGAUAUUUUGUAUUACUCUGUCAAUAAACCCUUCAUAGCCUGA